UACGGGGGGGGGCAAGCGUUGUUCGGAAUUACUGGGCGUAAAGGGUGCGUAGGCGGUCCGCUAAGUUGGAUGUGAAAACUCUGGGCUUAACCCAGAGCCUGCAUUCAAAACUGACGGGCUAGAGUUCUGGAGGGGGUAGCGGAAUUCCUGGUGUAGCGGUGAAAUGCGUAGAUAUCAGGAGGAACACCGGUGGCGAAGGCGGCUCACUGGCCCGAUACUGACGCUGAGGCACGAAAGCGUGGGGAGCAAACAGG
rnacentral:rRNA from 1 species